rnacentral:rRNA from 1 species
AUUGAACGCUGGCGGCAGGCCUAACACAUGCAAGUCGAGCGAGCGGCGGACGGGUGAGUAAUGUCUGGGAAACUGCCUGAUGGAGGGGGAUAACUACUGGAAACGGUAGCUAAUACCGCAUACCAUCAGAUGUGCCCAGAUGGGAUUAGCUCGUAGGUGGGGUAACGGCGCACCUCGGCGACGAUACCUAGCUGGUCUGGGAGGAUGACCAGCCACACUGGAACUGCGACACGGUCCAGACUCCGACGGGAGGCAGCAGUGGGGAAUAUUGCACAAUGGGCGCAAGCCUGAUACAGCCAUGCCGCGUGUGUGAAGAAGGCCUUCGGGUUGUAAAGCACUUUCAGCGGGGAGGCGUUACCCGCAGAAGAAGCACCGGCUAACUCCGUGCCAGCAGCCGCGGUAAUUC